rnacentral:lncRNA from 1 species
AUGAGACAGUUUUCAGAAAUUAGAAGCAUGCCUUGGAUGAACAGAAGCCCUUCCCCUGAGCUGAAUUUGGGAAAUAGUGUUGCAUCAGGAGGUUAUACUCUUCUAUUGGUGCUCAUGCUGUGCAACCUCUACUUCCUUUUCUUUAUUCUGAUUUCUGGCGUAGGGUGGAGACAAAAGAGAUCAGUGCAAUGGAGUCAUGUCUUUGUUGGGUCCUUGGCAGGAAACCAGACAUUUGUCUGCAGAGAAGCAGAGGAAAUGGGUAUUGGAGCAGAAACUUUGAGUGGAAUCAUUGAUGGGCUGGAUUCUGAUGAAUGUUCUAGACCUGACUCUAUUUAAACGUAACUUCAAAUGAGAAGUAAAAUCCUUUAUGGAAAUGGCAUUAUAUCAUCUUAGAAACAUGAAUAGAAUGCAUUUGUUAAAAUUUAAUCACUUUGUGGUAGCUGUUCCAUUAAGAAAAGAAGCUUUCACUGAAAUACAUAGGAGAAAAGGGGAGGCAUUUCAUCCACUCAAGAACUUUUGAAGGAUUCCAGUGUGAAUUUACUCUCCAUAUUACCCAUCUCCAGACCCACAUUAAUUUCCAAGAAUACUCUGCAAACCGGACUCUGGGCCAGGCAGGGCUGAACAGAUUCUUCUUUCCUUCCACUUGGAGGUGAGUUCCUUCAUGAAAAAGUCAUUCUUUGAAUUAAACUGAAAAAGAGCAGCCAUCUGUGCUCAGACAAAGAGAGGCAGAUAUUAUUUUUUUUUCUCAGAAGAAUGUUCAUACUCCGUUUUGCAUGCACAAACAAGCAUUUUGCUUUAGGCUUCAGCAAGUAUUUAGGUGCAUAAAAAUACCAUCUGCUAUAACUCUUCCAUUAUGGAAACUAUAUUUAAACAAUAAGUACUCAAUUCAUUUAAUCCAUUUUGUGAGAGAACUUGUGCACCUAAUUUGUUUUUGUAAAUUCUAAUUUGAAAUUCUGUCUGUGUAUCAUUACAAACAUAACACUUCACAAGUUACGCUGAAAUCCAUGGAGCUGUGGUAAUAAGCCAUGUGGCCAGCAGGGCUAAGGAAGUGAUCGUCUCCCUGUACUCGGCUCUGGUGAGGCCGCACCUGGAGUACUGUGUUCAGUUUUGGGCCUCUCGCUACAAGAAGGACAUCGAGGUGCUUGAGCGAGUCCAGAGAAGGGCGACCAAACUGGUGAGGGUUCUGGAGAACAAGUCCUACAAGGAGCAGCUGAGGGAGCUGGGUUUGUUCAGCCUGGAGAAAAGGAGGCUCAGGGGUGACCUUAUUGCUCUUUACAGAUACCUGAAAGGAGGCUGUAGCGAGGUGGGGGUUGGUCUCUUCUCCCAUGUGCCCGGUGACAGGACGAGGGGGAAUGGGCUAAAGUUGCACCAGGGGAGUUUUAGGUUGGAUGUUAGGAAGAACUUCUUUACCGAAAGGGUUGUCCAAGCUCAGCUUCCAUUCUAUAGUAGUAGCAAUUUUAAGGAAAGGCAAAGACAGCACCUUAUCCACUGGAAAUUGAAAGGUAAUUUGGGAUAAUAUAACUAAAUUUGAAAAGGAAUUCCAAACCUGGUAGUAUUUAGUUAAUUUUACUUACGAAACUUGAAAACUGUACUCAUAAAUAUUGGAAAAGGAUAUAUAUGUAUGAAAACUUUCAGUGAUUUUAUAUUUUUAAGAGAUAUUACUGUAGUACAAGUAGUCACUCAAAUAUUUGUUUUUGUAACUGCUGAAAUUAUGGGAUGGGACUUUAAUUAUCCAGCUCCUGUUACAUCUUAUUAAUUUCCACAAUCUAAUUAUGCAUUGAAUCAGGAUUUACUGCCUAGACCCAUGAGAAUGAAUCUUACACAGGUGACAAAAUUACUGAAACACAAUGACUUGUGGUAACUGCUAGAACAUGCCUGAAAUAAUAGACAAAACCCUCUAAUUGUGGCGCAUCAUGACAAAGAAGAAAUGCACCAUGUCCUGGUAUGAGUGAGAAGAAAUGGAGAACAUCGUUGGUGAGAAACUUCUUGGGUGGUCAUUGAAUUUUUAAUUACAUACUUCAUCCAGUUGUGAUUUUAUUAACUCUAAUAUUAGCAUGUCUAUAAUUACAUAUAAUGUUAUUUAAAUAUAUAUAUAAUUAUUACUUGUGUUGUAUAUAAAGUUUUAGUACAUGAUAUAAAUAGCCCAACUUCAACCACCAAAAACAUAUAGAGUAGUACAUAACAAAUAGCAAUAAUUCACUGUCUAUUGGAUAUAUAAGCACAUAAAUUAUCAAUAUACUCUUUGUGGCACGGAGGCAAGAGGUGGCUGUACCAACACUCUGUGAGGGUAAGAUGAGUUGACUAUAGUGAUGAGAUGGACUGUGAUAGUGUAUAGUUUCAUGUCAUGAUCUUCCCUUGAACAGGGACACUUCUUAAGAUUAUUCCUCAAGGUUGACCGAUUCCUCAGCUGUACAGAUACUCAGUAAGUAAGUAAUAUCUACCUUUCUGAAACUUUGCAACUAAGCCUGCUGAAACUUUGUAAUCUUAGCUAAGUGAUAUAAAGGAUUGAUUGUGCAUAUAAUCCUUUAGGCAUAAACCAUUAUAUUUAGGAUUGCAAUACGAUUCAGUUGUAUCUAAACUCCUUGGAAUUUGGACAGCUAAAGGGACUCCAUUCUGAACCUUGUAAUUCAACAUGAGGGUCUCCACGAUGCUUUUAAUUCACGUCUGUCCUCUAUGCAGUAAAUAAUCAAGUGAUCUUGCCAUCACAAAUCUUAUUAUUGUUACAUUUACCAUUAUAGCUUUGUUAAAUCACUGUUUUAUUCCAGAUUAAGCUUUGCUAAAUCAUUUUCAUCAAUAAAUAUGUUGCUGCUUAUCUUUUAUGAGUGAAG